AACUGAACUAGCGCUGCCUAGUUCAGGUAACAAUCAAUUAACUUAACUUGCUUACAUACAAAUGUAUCUCACACACUCUGUAUCUCACACAGUCCCUUGUCAUACAUAGAUGUUCUACUUGUUGUGUGUUAUGUUACGUUAUGUUAUGUUGUGCUUGUGGGUUCACGUACACUUAUCACGUGUGUACUUAUUUUCUACUUGUGGGUUCAUAUAUUUAUCUAUCUACCCACGUACACUUAUCACCGUGUACUUAUUGUAUAUUUAUAUUGUGUAUUUAUCUAUGUACAUACACUUAUCACAUAUAUAUAUUAUCCACUUAUUCUCAUAUUCAGAUCAUUCUAUACAGAUUAUCAUAUACAAAUUAUCAUAUACACAUUAUCAUAUACACAAUACCGGGGGCCCCCCUUUUUCACCGUUCCUACCAAGCAGAUCUGUCUCAACCAACCGCGAUAUCUAAGAACUAACGCGUUUUUACCACCUGCCGUCCUGCCCCGGUCGUGAGUCCGCACCGUCCUGCCCCGGCCCAGUACUCACACCGGAGGAUACGCUCCAGGAAUUUUAUCAUGCGCUUUACCACCUGCCGUCCUGCCCCGGUCGUGAGUCCGCACCGUCCUGCCCCGGCCCAGUACUCACACCGGAGGAUACGCUCCAGGAAUUUUAUCGUGCACUUUACCACCUGCCGUCCUGCCCCGGUCGUGAGUCCGCACCGUCCUGCCCCGGCCCAGUACUCACACCGGAGGAUACGCUCCAGGAAUUUUAUCCAGGCCUAACUACUACAUAGUACACUCAUGAGAUUUUUCACACACACACACACAGUCACACAUCAAAACCUUAUCCUGUUAUGUGGCUUUCCCUUCGUUAUUUCUCAUCCAGCUCUUUAUCUCACCCUUAGGGGUUCUUAUCUCGAGGGUGUCUGUCCGCUCUCCUUCUCGGGGCCACACCCCUCGCUCAGGCCACAGAUUCACUAUACACAGACAUUUGAGUUUAACAGGCGUCUGCUCACCUUGUUAUUUAUGGCCGGCCUCUGUAGCCUGUCAGAGAGAGCGGUCCCGGUUCUGGAGGCAGUUCACACCGUCCCUGCAGAGGUCGCUUCGUGGUCGCCAUUAAAUAUGUCGGAACUUAGAGCCCGUCUCCAAGUCGGCACAUAUCAGGGUGAAUUCUACUGAUAUACUUUGUAAUACUUUUAUACUAUAAUUAUUACUUAGACUUAAUUUACUGAUAGCACUAACAUUAACACGAAUUAAAACAAUGGGAAAGCUCCUCAGACCUGGAUGAGAAUGAGCAAACUUCUUUAUUGUGGUCAGUCAGCCAACAAUUCUCUAAGAGAAAUUGGCAAUUUGAAAGUAACAAAAGAAAUCCCAAAAACCCAAAAAGAAAAAGCAUCUUCAUGAAGAGCAUCGGCAUGCAAAAACAAAAACCCUCAGGACGGUCCUGCAGAGUAACGGUAUUUUUACGCAUACACCUUUGGCCCCAAAAAUUCUCCUCUAUAUAUACGCUUCCACGCGCCUCCUUAUCGGUUCCCCUCCUCACAGGCCCGUUUUCAUAUCACUUUAUCAUUAUGUCACCUUAUUUACCGGAAUCAUCUCAUAUGUUUUUGUAACGUCCUGUUCCUUAAAAUCCCCUUGUUUUUCCUUCACCUUUUGCCCAUAUGCCCAUUUAUGGAUUUUCCUCCCCUUAGUUCCCCGGGACCCAGGUCCGGGAGCCCAGGCCUGUGACCCUGGGUCUUCUUCAUUCGCCAUAACAAUUAUAUCUAAACAACAAUUUUGUUAUUAAAAGUGUGCUCAAAAAAGAGCCUCACUCCCUGGUCGAAGUUACAUUUGCCUCUCAGUUUUUCCAUGCCAGACAUCCUGAAGAUUAAUCCUUCAUUCAACUACAAUGGACCCUUCGCCUCCAGGUCGGUCAGCUCAUCCUAGUCGCCCUAUCAGGUCCUCGCCUCACCAUUCUCGUCCUUCUCCCUACACAAGGCCAGUGCCAGCUGAAGUCAUGGAGACCUAUCGCCGCCUCCAGCUACUUCAUAUCACCCGUUCAAGGAUUUUCACAACA